rnacentral:rRNA from 1 species
UACGAGGGGGGCAAGCGUUGUUCGGAAUUAUUGGGCGUAAAGGGUGCGUAGGCGGUCUGAUAAGUCAUCUGUGAAAUCUAUGGGCUCAACCCAUAGUCUGCAGGCGAAACUGUCGGGCUUGAGUAUGGGAGAGGUGAGUGGAAUUUCCGGUGUAGCGGUGAAAUGCGUAGAUAUCGGGAGGAACACCUGUGGCGAAAGCGGCUCACUGGACCACAACUGACGCUGAGGCGCGAAAGCUAGGGGAGCAAACAGG